rnacentral:lncRNA from 1 species
CCAGGAGUCUAUAUCUAUACCACAAGAUAUUGCACACAGAUGGAAGGGGGCUGCAAAUAUUUCUUGAUGGGUGUGUAAGACACAUGGCUGGAGAGACAGGAGCUGCGUUGCUGAUGAAGCAGCUGACCUGCGAUGAUGGACUUCCCUGUGAAGGGAACUUUCAGCUCCUGCACCUUGCCAGUGUAUUAUCCAUGGCAGCAGUGCUGGCUUUGGAGACAGGGAAAACAGAUUGAAGAAGUUAUUUUCUAAUGUGAUGAAAGGGCAGUGAAGACUAUCCGUCUUUACAUGAGCAGUGGACAAAAAUGAUCAUGUCAAAGGAAUGUAG